CUUAUUUUAUGGUUUCACAGUGUAUCUAAAGGGUUAAUGUCCUUGUGCUCCUAACUGUCAAUCACCUAGUGGGGUGAUUGCCAGUGGGCGGGGCAUCACCUCAGAGUGGGUCAUGUGACUACUAGAGAGGGGUGGAGAGGUGCUGUGAGUAUAGCUGAGGGAGAGACUGCAUAUCCCUUGGUGAGAGGACAUAGUUUUUUGCUGCUCCGGCCGUUGCCCGCAUUAGAGCUGAGCGGUAUACAUUUCGGCGGCCGGAGGGGGCUUAGUGUGUGUAGCCAGAACAGGGCUUCCUUACUGUAAAGGUGGUGACAGCAGCAUUGAGACUGUUCAUAGAACCCGGCAUCAGCGCUAGUCAACUCACCCAGCAGUAUUGGAAGGGCACAUCUGUGACAGGGAGACAGAGAGGGUUCCUUCCUACCUAUUACCGGCACAGACUCUGACAGCCACAACAAAGAAGCCAGGACCAGCAGCAGAGGCUCCAUUCUGUGUGGAUCACAAGGCCACGAGGGACAUCGAGAAGAAUCCUACUGCCAGUAUGGUGCUGGUUUUCCUGGGAGGAGGAGUCAGACGUGAUAUCGGGAACAAAAUAAGCUCCGUACACCUAACAGUAACAGUCAUGCAGGAAAAUGUUGCAUCCUAGCACUGCUGAGACCUGUGUGUGGAGUGAAACGGACUGGAUGUUGCUGAAGUACCAGGGUGACAGCACAUUAAACCUGGACAGAAGCAAGCGUUCAGAGGAGCGGAUUCUCAUCUUUAUUCAAUACCGUCAUGCAUUAGGCGUAUGAAAUGAAAACCUUUUGUCUGCUGCCCUGCAGAAGCUUUUAGUGACUGAAUCACCGGAUUAAUAUACAUUGCCACUUUACCUUUUGCCUUAAGUAACUAUUUCCAGAGGCAUGGUCACAGGAGAACUACUUGUGCUUAAAGAAAUCUUUAAAAUGCAUUUUUCCCCCACAUUUAAAAGCACAUUUUACUGAUGAUUAAUGCAUCUACAUAAGUAUAAAAGCCUUGUUACGCAGGACCUUAGUAACAGCAAUGGGAAAAAUAUUGGGAAAUUAUAAUACUUAAUAUAUUUCACCACAAGGUGGCUGCUGUGCCAGUGUCUCAGUGACUGUUGCUGAACACUGUAAGAUACAAAUUAAAAUGUGAUUCCUUAGUGCAGGAGACAGGAACCCUGGCCGCUGCUAAACUACUGUACAUGACUGUUAGACGUUGUCGUCGUAGUUUCAUAGCACCCAGACUAGAUCUUCCUAAGUAUUUAUGACCCUGCUUUUUCCCCCAUCACAGAAGCAGCAAAGUAACACUUUCCUACUGUUGUGCUAUUGUAUUAUUUGUGGCAUUAAAUGUGUGUUCUUAUACUGUAUACUUUUAUAUCUAUGUGUGUAAUUGAAAUGUAGAAAAACUUUAUUAGAAUUUCUACAUAUUUGAGGUGUGGUGUCCCUUUUCUUUAUUCCAGAAAUUUUAUCAUUUUACAACAAAUGCAUGUAUUUUCCAACUUUGAAAUAACAUGAAUAGAAAACACAUUCUUUAAACACCCUUCUGGCUCCUGCUUCUCGUUUACCUUAAGUGGGUGGGGCCAUGAUAAUGUCAUUUGCAUAAGCCAGCCCCACCUCCACACUCUUGAGAAAGCUAACUGCAUCAUUGUGGAGAGACAUGAGAUGUGGGGGUUCUGGUAGGGUGGCAGGAAGAUGACAUUUGGAAAUGGGUUGUUUUAAACUGUAUUUUAAAUACUAAGGGCUUCAUUCAGAAAGGAUUGCAUAUGCAAAGCUGCUCAUAGCAACUUGGCAAAUGCAAUCCUUAGUACUGCAAAUGCAGGAGGAGGUGCGUAGCAUCGGCACAUGUGCAGAACGUCAUCACUCGCCCUAAUUUAGAAGUCUUCUGUAUAUUCCUGAAAAGUAGGCAACUGGAGGAUGUUAACAGAUGUGUAGAGACUACAAAAUAAUCUGGCAUCGUUGGUUUAUGUACUUAUUCCCUCUGUUUGUCAUUGUAUUUAGUGCCCUACAGUAUA